rnacentral:rRNA from 33 species
GACCUGAGAUCAGACAAGACCACC